rnacentral:rRNA from 1 species
GGGGGAUAACGUUCGGAACGGACGCUAAUACCGCAUACGUCCUACGGGAGAAAGCAGGAGACCUUCGGGCCUUGCGCUAUCAGAUGAGUCUAGGUCGGAUCAGCUAGUUGGUGAGGUAAUGGCUCACCAAGGCUACGAUCCGUAACUGGUCUGAGAGGAUGAUCAGUCACACUGGAACUGAGACACGGUCCAG